CUGGGCUCACCGCGGCCUUCCAUAUGGCCUCCUGUUUUGUUACUCAUAGAAACUGAGAAAUUUCCGCUGUCCUGGACCCCAGGAAGGAUAUAUGAGGGUACCCCGCAGCACUCACCAGCUGACAUGGAGAGGCAAGCCGGCAAGUGAUGCGGGAGCACAGGAGGAGGACGAGAAGAGGCCCACCCAGUGC